UGUAUCUACGUGGGUUUGGCAUAACGGGGCGGUUCUGGCAGGCGUGUCUACAGCAUUCUUUGACCUGCAGGAAUUCUCUAGACAAGACAGAUGCUGAAAAGGAAGGAAGUCUCUACAAAGAAUUUUGAAAAUAAAAUCUCUUUAAGGAAUACUGAAAACAGAGUUUUUUCAAAGAG